rfam:complete chromosome Acholeplasma palmae.
AAAUAGACGUUGACAAAGAAAAGUAAGAAAAAGUAUUAUACUAGAGACUUAAGGGUUGGUGAAACUUAAGAUAAACUUUUACUGAAAAUUGGGCCUUUGGAGUCUAUAAAAAUUUUAACUUAAAGCGCUAGAAUUUAUUCUAGAACUAAGGUGGCACCGCGAAUUCAUUCGUCCUUAGA